rnacentral:lncRNA from 1 species
GGUCCCGCUCCCGAGUGCUGAUCAUUUCCGGCUCAGGCGGAUCCGAGGAGUCUCUAGGUAGCUGUUGGCGUUCACAGCCCGGAGCUCUUCCCUAUCUUAGUCCUUCAUGUUCUUAGUUUUCUGUAUUAAACUCUGUAGUUAUAUUUUGAGUAUUCUAUUUUGCUAGAUGCUCAUGAGUAGUGACACUCCGGUAUCGGGCUGUGUUUGGCUGUAUUCCGCAUAUUAUACUAUCAUUCGCUUGAACUUUGAUUUAUUUAUUCAUGUUUAUACUAUUUCUAAAUGCUUAACUGUUAAUAAUUGGAAAAUGGGACGUGCCGGCUGGCCCUGUCUUCUCGAGAGGCGCCAUCAUGACUGGGUCCGGGUUUAGGGCCGUGAUAAGUUGGUAUCAGAGUCUAGGUUACAUAGAUCUUACGAGGCAUGAGCAUGUUUAGUAGAGUCUAGUAGAUCGGUAGAGAGACAUCUGUAUUUAUCCUCGAGAGGUUGUAGAACCUUUAGGAAAGACUUCAUAUUUUUGAAAUUCUUGUUGUGCGACUUUGUUGAGCCGCAUACUAAACUUUUGUUAUUCUAUUCUCUCACAGAUGGUGAGGACGUGCGCUACCGGUCAGGGUGGACGACCACCAGUACCACCAGCUAUGGACACCAGAGGCCAAAGACGCAGUCGUGGUCGUGGUAGGGGUAGAGCAGCUAGGGCAACACCUGUAGAUCCACCAACUACCCUAGUUCAGGAUCAGGUCCUAGUUAUUGAUGCUCCAGCAGCACCAGCUCAGGCACCAGCUAUGCCCAUUGUGAUUCCGGGUCUUCGGGAGGCCUUGGCUCAGAUCUUAUCAAUUUGCAGUGGCCUAUCUCAGGCGGUUUCAGCCACUACAGCCGC